rnacentral:rRNA from 1 species
UACAGAGGGUGCAAGCGUUAAUCGGAAUUACUGGGCGUAAAGCGUGCGUAGACGGUUAUUUAAGUCAGGUGUGAAAGCCCCGGGCUCAACCUGGGAAUUGCAUUUGAGACUGAAUAGCUAGGGUGCGGAAGAGGGAAGCGGAAUUUCCGGUGUAGCGGUGAAAUGCGUAGAUAUCGGAAGGAACACCAGUGGCGAAAAGCGGCUUCCUGGUCCAGCACCGACGUUCAGGCACGAAAGCGUGGGGAGCAAACAGG